CAUGGGGCUGCUUACCAUGCAGUCGAACGGUGAAGCACCUUCGGGUGCGGAUCAGUGGCGAACGGGUGAGUAACACGUGGGCAACCUGCCCCUAGCUCUGGGAUAACUCCUCGAAAGAGGCGCUAAUACCGGAUACUGACCCCCCUCGGCAUCGUGGGGGGUUGAAAGAUUUCUUGGCUAGGGAUGGGCCCGCGGCCUAUCAGCUUGUUGGCGGGGUAACGGCCCACCAAGGCGACGACGGGUAGCCGGCCUGAGAGGGCGACCGGCCACACUGGGACUGAGACACGGCCCAGACUCCUACGGGAGGCAGCAGUGGGGAAUAUUGCGCAAUGGGCGAAAGCCUGACGCAGCAACGCCGCGUGAGGGAUGACGGCCUUCGGGUUGUAAACCUCUUUCAGCGGGGACGAAGCGAAAGUGACUGUACCCGCAGAAGAAGCGCCGGCUAACUACGUGCCAGCAGCCGCGGUAAUACGUAGGGCGCAAGCGUUGUCCGGAUUUAUUGGGCGUAAAGAGCUCGUAGGCGGUCUGUCGCGUCGGAUGUGAAAACCCGGAGCUCAACUCCGGGCCUGCAUUCGAUACGGGCAGACUUGAGUACUGCAGGGGAGACUGGAAUUCCUGGUGUAGCGGUGGAAUGCGCAGAUAUCAGGAGGAACACCGGUGGCGAAGGCGGGUCUCUGGGCAGAAACUGACGCUGAGGAGCGAAAGCGUGGGGAGCGAACAGGAUUAGAUACCCUGGUAGUCCACGCCGUAACGGUGGGCACUAUGUGUGGGGACCAUUCCACGGUCUCUGCGCCGCAGCUAACGCAUUAGUGCCCCGCCU
rnacentral:rRNA from 1 species